rnacentral:rRNA from 1 species
CAGGUGCUGCAUGGCUGUCGUCAGCUCGUGUCGUGAGAUGUUGGGUUAAGUCCCGCAACGAGCGCAACCCUUGCCAUUAGUUGCUACGAAAGGGCACUCUAAUGGGACUGCCGGUGACAAACCGGAGGAAGGUGGGGAUGACGUCAAGUCCUCAUGGCCCUUAUAGGUGGGGCUACACACGUCAUACAAUGGUCGGUACAGAGGGUUGCCAAGCCGCGAGGUGGAGCCAAUCCCAGAAAGCCGAUCGUAGUCCGGAUCGCAGUCUGCAACUCGACUGCGUGAAGUCGGAAUCGCUAGUAAUCGCGGAUCAGCAUGUCGCGGUGAAUACGUUCCCGGGUCUUGUACACACCGCCCGUCACACCAUGGGAGUGGGUUCUACCAGAAGUAGUUAGCCUAACCGUAAGGAGGGCGAUUACCACGGUAGGAUUCAUGACUGGGGUGAAGUCGUAACAAGG